rnacentral:rRNA from 1 species
UACGUAGGGUGCAAGCGUUGUCCGGAAUUAUUGGGCGUAAAGAGCUCGUAGGCGGUCUGUCGCGUCUGCUGUGAAAACUCGGGGCUUAACCCCGGGCCUGCAGUGGGUACGGGCAGACUAGAGUGCGGUAGGGGAGACUGGAAUUCCUGGUGUAGCGGUGAAAUGCGCAGAUAUCAGGAGGAACACCGGUGGCGAAGGCGGGUCUCUGGGCUGUGAACUGACGCUGAGGAGCGAAAGCGUGGGGAGCGAACAGG